rnacentral:tRNA from 1 species
CCAUUGGUGGUUCAGAGGUAGAAUUCUCAUCCUCCAUACAGGAGACCUGGGUUCAAUUCCCAGCCAAUGCA